AUCCUCAAUGCAUCUGGAAUCAAUCGAUUUGUUCGGUAUUCACAUAGAGCACCGGCACCGCCGCUGCGUACCAUAGUGUAACUGGGAGAAGGAGAGGCCGGGGGUGGCGCCAGAGGGCUUGCUCGUCCAACGCCGCGCGCCGGAGGGCGCUGCCUGGCGUCGCUGCGUCCCGGGCCGCUGCGUCGACGUUGCUGUAGUGUCGUGGGCUGGUCGUGGCUACCGGUGCCGCCGCGGUGGAGAUCGCCGUUCUAGGCGCCGGCCAUUGGUUACCCCGAGGACACGCCGCCUGUACUGGAGGGUAUGCCGCGCCGUGGUCGUGCUCCGCCUGAGGGAGGAGCGCCGCAUCGAAUGCUGCAUCCGAGAGGUGGAGGACGCCGUCGUCGCCAAACGACGAGAAGCAUGUCCAUUGAUUACUGCCGUGGACGGGAAUAUGGCUAAUCGAAUCGGCGGCAUUCUUCUCUUCUCCUGUGGUCAUUUCUCAGCGGAGAGCAAAAGUGCUGAUAACGUGUUUAGAGAGAAACGAGAGAGGGAGAGCAAAUGAUGGAAAGGAUAUUCUCAUUGAUUGAAGAUUGGGUAUAUAUACCCUAGUACAAGGCGGUUUACAAGGAGCGGUUACCAAACUGUGGAACCGACAUAGCAGUGAUUAUUAACUAAUAAUUAUUCUAAUUAAUUAUUUCCUAA